ensembl:ncRNA ZK836.18 ncRNA
AGUAGAGGGCAUAAUGAACAAAAUUGGGGGAGGACCGCAGAAUAUGUGUGAAACUCUGAUGGAUCUUCCUUAUACUAGAAGCUAGUAAAAAUUGACUACUUGAGUGCCUACAA